GCUUGUGAAUGGCACAGAAAAUGAGGAGGAUUUUGAAGCCAGCUAAGGCCAGGAGAGGAGAGCCUGACGUUUCAAGAACUCAAGGUUCAGUACUAGGUCUUAGAGGAAGACUUCAUUUUAGCUUUGAUGCUCUCCGCUAGGCACAGAGAAACUUAAGCAGAAUGACAAGACCUGCUGUUUGAGUAACUCACGUUCUGACCAGAGAGACAGACAUGUCAGCAAGAGGUUACAAUACAGUGUGCUCAGAUUCUCCGGGACUUGGA
rnacentral:lncRNA from 1 species